rnacentral:lncRNA from 1 species
CUAUGAAAACAGGGAAUAGAAAUAAUACUCAUAAUGACAGCCAUUUCCUGUUAAGAUCAAGGAUCUGUUUCUCUUUUUCUUUUUUUUUUGGUUUGAUGGUUGGAAACAUACCUAAAAGCAUAAACAAAAUAAUCACCCACCAUGCUCCCACUCCACAGAAUUAACCAUUGUUCAUCUUUUCCCAUAUUUGUUGUUUAUGUUCUUUUCUAAAUUACACAAAUAUAUAAGGACAUGAAGUUUUUUUUUGUUUUGUUUUGUUUUUUGACGGAGUCUCGCUGUUGCCCAGGCU